AGUGAACGCUGGCGGUAGGCCUAACACAUGCAAGUCGAACGGCAGCACAGUAAGAGCUUGCUCUUACGGGUGGCGAGUGGCGGACGGGUGAGGAAUACAUCGGAAUCUACUUUUUCGUGGGGGAUAACGUAGGGAAACUUACGCUAAUACCGCAUACGACCUACGGGUGAAAGCAGGGGAUCUUCGGACCUUGCGCGAUUGAAUGAGCCGAUGUCGGAUUAGCUAGUUGGCGGGGUAAAGGCCCACCAAGGCGACGAUCCGUAGCUGGUCUGAGAGGAUGAUCAGCCACACUGGAACUGAGACAGGGUCCAGGCCCCUACGGGGGGCAGCAGGGGGGAAUAUUGGACAAGGGGCGCAAGCCUGAUCCAGCCAUACCGCGGGGGUGAAGAAGGCCUUCGGGUUGUAAAGCCCUUUUGUUGGGAAAGAAAAGCAGCAGGUUAAUACCCCGCUGUUCUGACGGUACCCAAAAAAUAAGCACCGGCUAACUUCGU
rnacentral:rRNA from 1 species